rnacentral:rRNA from 1 species
ACGCCGGCGAGCAGCCAACCGCCUUCCUUGUUCACGGGCUUCGUGAGGAUCCAAUCGUCGUCGACGACUUCCUCUUCGCCGCUCACGGAGAGCUUGCCGGUGAAGUGCACGACGGCCACGUACUCAUCGCCCUGCUGGGCGAUGCCCACGAGCUGAUUGUCGAGCUGCAGGACGGUCGUUUCGUAGUUCUGCGCACCGCGCUCGCGCAGGGCGUGCGUGAUCUCGAUGAAGAGAUCCUGCGUCGUGAAGUCGGAGAGUUCGAUCACGUUGCCCGUGUCCCAAGCCUUCUGGAACUUCACGAAGUUUUCCUUCGCCACGCGCAGGAAGGCUUCGCGGUCGAAGUCGUCGGGCGUGAUGUCGACCGUGCCGGCAUCCGCGGCGACCGCCUCUUCGGGCGCAGCGCCGAAGCGGCCCGAGCGGAAUUCAUCCAUCACGCUGCCGCGGCGAACGGGCUCUUCGCGCAUCGGUUCGACGGGCGAGGAACGAAGGGGUUCGGCGGGGCGUUCGGGCUCGGCGGGACGCACGGGUUCGCGCGGCAUUUCCACCGGCGCGCCGCGCACCGUCGCGGUCUUGCGGCCGAGGAAGGCGCCGAGCAGGAAACGGAUGGCGAAGAAGGCCACCACGGCGAGAAUCGCCCCCAUCACGAGGCUCGCCAUUUCGGCGCCGCCGAGUCCGAGCAUGGAGAGCAGGGCGGAGAUCCCGAACAGAACCAGAGAUGGUUCCUCUUCUUCGGAAGCCAGAAAACAGGUGGUGCACGGUUGUCGUCAGCUCGUGUCGUGAGAUGUUGGGUUAAGUCCCGCAACGAGCGCAACCCCUAUCUUAUGUUGCCAGCACGUAAAGGUGGGAACUCAUGAGAGACUGCCGCAGACAAUGCGGAGGAAGGCGGGGAUGACGUCAAAUCAUCAUGCCCCUUAUGACCUGGGCUACACACGUACUACAAUGGGAGUUAAUAGACGGAAGCGAGAUCGCGAGAUGGAGCAAACCCGAGAAACACUCUCUCAGUUCGGAUCGUAGGCUGCAACUCGCCUACGUGAAGUCGGAAUCGCUAGUAAUCGCAGGUCAGCAUACUGCGGUGAAUACGUUCCCGGGCCUUGUACACACCGCCCGUCACACCACGAAAGUCGGAAGUGCCCAAAGCCGGUGGGGUAACCUUCGGGAGCCAGCCGUCUAAGGUAAAGUCGAUGAUUGGGGUGAAGUCGUAACAAGGUAGCCGUAUCGGAAGGUGCGGCUG